ensembl:lncRNA
GUUAGUAUUAGUUGGUCAAGUGCUGGAGAAAAAGAUGAGUCUUUAGAUGUUUUUUGAAAAUGAGUAAUGACUCGGCUGUUCGAAUUGAGAUUGGGAGGUCAUUCCACCAGCUGGGCACAGUCCAGGAAAAGGUCUAUGAGAGUGAUUUUGAACCUCUUUGGGAUGGCACCACAAGGCGCUGUUCACUUGCAGAAAGCAAGCUUCUGGAGGGCGCAUAAGUUUGAACUAGUGAGUUUAGGUAUAUUGGUGCCAUGCCAGUGGACGUCUUGUAGGCAAGCAUCAGUACCUUGAAUUUGAUGCAAGCGGCUACUGGUAGCCAGUGUAACCUAAAGAGGAGAGGAGUAACGUGAGCUUUUUUUGGCUCAUUGGGGUCGUUGUACCAAUAUGGUCUGUGAAGCUUAACUGAUGAUCCAUCACAACUCCUAGGUUUCUGGCUGUCCUGGAAGGAGUUAUGGUUGACGAACCCAGCUGUAUAGUGUAGUUGUGAUGAAACGAUGGGUUAGCUGGAACCACCAGCAGUUCUGUCUUAGUAAGGUUGAGCUGAAGGUGAUGGUCAUUCAUCCAGCUAGAAAUUACACUCAAACAGGCUGCAAUGCGAGCAGCUACCGUCGGAUCAUCUGGUUGGAAUGAGAAGAAGAGUUGAGUGUCAUCAGCAUAGCAGUAAUAGGAAAAGCCAUGCUUCUGAAUGACAGAUCCUAAUGACGUCAUGUAUAUGGAGAAGAGAAGUGGUCCAAGUACUGAGCCUUGAGGAACCCCAGUAGCAAGAAGUUGUGACUUAGAAACUUCACCCCUCCAAGACACCCUGAAGGAUUUAUCUGAUAGGUAGGACUUAAACCACAGGAGUGUGGUUCCAGAGAUGCCCAUCUUUCUGAGGUUGGACAGUAGAAUCUGGUGAUUAACUGUGUCAAAAGCAGCAGACAGAUCCAGCAAGAUGAGUACUGAGGAUUUGGAAGCUGCUCUUGCCAGUUGCAGGGCUUCAGUAACCGAGAGCAGGGCAGUCUCAGUUGAGUGGCCACUUUUGAAGCCAGAUUGGUUGCUGUCCAGGAG